rnacentral:rRNA from 1 species
UACGUAGGGUGCGAGCGUUGUCCGGAAUUACUGGGCGUAGAGAGCUCGUAGGUGGUUUGUCGCGUCGUCUGUGAAAUUCCGGGGCUUAACUCCGGGCGUGCAGGCGAUACGGGCAUAACUUGAGUGCUGUAGGGGAGGCUGGAAUUCCUGGUGUAGCGGUGAAAUGCGCAGAUAUCAGGAGGAACACCAAUGGCGAAGGCAGGUCUCUGGGCAGUAACUGACGCUGAGGAGCGAAAGCGUGGGUAGCGAACAGG